GGGGAUGUAGCUCAGUAGUAGAGCAUUUGCCUAGAUUAUUCAUGGCCUGGGAUCAAUUCCCAGUAGCCCCU
rnacentral:tRNA from 1 species